UAGAGAGAGAGACCAGUUACAGACCAGUAACACCAACCUGACUAUAGAGAAAGACCAGUUACAGACCAGUAACACCAACCUGACUAUACAGAGAGACCAGUUAAAGACCAGUAACAUCAACCUGACUAAAGUGAGAGACCAGUUACAGAAAGAGAGAGACGUAUUUGAGAGGAAGUUUUCUGAACUGGAGAGAUUCAUUAACCAGCAAGGAUGGAGAUACUUCAGUUCCAGUCUUUAUUACAUCUCUACUGAGAAGAAGAGCUGGAGUGAGAGCAGAAAAGACUGCAGAGCGAGAGGAGCAGACCUGCUGAUCAUAAACAGCAGAAAAGAGCAGCACUUUACUGAAAAGCUGAGAGGAGGUCAGACAGCUUGGAUUGGUCUGAGUUACAGAGUCAUAGAGGGAGCUUGGAGAUGGAGAUGGGUUGAUAACUCAGCACUGACCACUAGCUUCUGGAGAUCUGGACAACCAAACAUUUAUGGAUCAUGCGUUGUAACUGGCUCUGGGUCUGAUCCUGUACUGAACUGGAUUUAUAUUUACUGUUCUGAACAGCAUGUGUGGAUCUGUGAGAAGAGACUAUUUAGUUA